rnacentral:lncRNA from 1 species
GCCAAAACUCCGUCCCUCUCCUGGUUCUGUAGAAAACUGACUGGAAUUAUGUAGGACAUGCAGUGGCUGUCCUCAGCCGGUUUGUCCGCCUCAAGUCCUCUGUUUGAAUGUAGCACCACUGGGCUCCCUCACAUGGCCAUUUCAAUUCCAGAAGUUGAGAAGGUCCAGGAAAAACAGUUCCACGUCCAGUCCUGAGCAGGGGCAGCAGCCAAAAUGUAUCACAGCCCUGGAACAGCCCAAUUUGUUGACACAGAGGAGGAAGCGAUGUAACUCUGGAGGAGAUCUAUGUUGCGGACAGACCCGGACUAUGACGAAAGCUACGUAAGAAGAGUGCUCCCCACUUGCAGUCACCACCUUCUGUGGGAGCUCCCCAGCCCCUCAGAUCUGUAAGCAAGGCAGCUUGUUCAUCCUUGGCGGAGGGCCAUAUUAACAGAGAUCUACUAUUUAAACUGUUUAAGUUCGCUUGAACAUCUGAAACAGGGAGAAGUCCAUCCAGCAGAUCCAGUGGACUCUGAGGAACUGAAGACAGGCUGGGACUUUCACCUCUUCCACAAGUGCAACUGUGGAGCCAAUGGGGACAGUAGCCAGAGCCUAACACACAGCACCUAACACAUAGUCACAGUGCCUUCCACGAUAAGCAAAAGAGGUUGUGGAGCUUGUGUUGCUGGGACCAUUCCCCAAGAGAAGGAAAUCAGCCCUGGUAGACACCCCAUCAGCCACAGGAAUGGCUGCAGAGCCUUCACUGCUGGCUCUGGAUGUGCCACAGGGCAUGUAGCUGGCACACUGCUCCUACCAUGCUCACGCUGUGGGAAGUGGCAAAAAUACUAGGUGAAGUGUUAAGUUAGAGCACUUGUUCUUCCAUGGGCUGAAAAAUGUUCUUCAACCCACAGAAGGAGGCUCACUACAAAAGCUAAAGACUAGCACAGUAUUCCUUGGACUAAAUCAGGGUGAGAAGAUGUCAAAGUGGCAAUUAAAAGUGCAGUGUUUAAAGAAAUGAGACAAAUCAGUGGAACAGAACCACCAAUUUUCAUUUCAACAUCGUUACAUGUCUCUUAAUUAGAACAGAUGUCUUCCUAAUCUGUGUGGAACAGAAAAGGACAUGGGAGGUCUGAAAUACUGGCUCCUCCACCAAUAUUACAUUAAUUCCCAUGUUCUGACAGCAAACCUACUGUCUCAGAUUGCACUAAAUUGAAAGACCCAGCAAUUCUGAAUCCUGCCUGCAAACCAUGGCUUAAUCUGCAAUAUCCAAAGCUUAGCUGAAAUCAUUUUCUCUUCCCUACACCUGCAAACAUUGCAUUUAUCCCACCAUGCACUGAGACUGCUCA